ACCAGCAGUACUCCCAUUAGUUAGAAUGACAAGAAUUCAGCGCACAUCUCCAAAGCUAAGCAGGGUUGGGCCUGGUUAGUACUUGGAUGGGAGACUGAUGGGAAUACAGAUGCUGCCAGUG
rnacentral:rRNA from 1 species